rnacentral:rRNA from 1 species
UACGUAGGGGGCAAGCGUUGUCCGGAUUUAUUGGGCGUAAAGAGCGUGUAGGCGGCUUUACAGGUCCGUUGUGAAAACUCGAGGCUCAACCUCGAGACGCCGGUGGAAACCGUAAGGCUAGAGUCCGGAAGAGGAGAGUGGAAAUUCCUGGUGUAGCGGUGAAAUGCGCAGAUAUCAGGAGGAACACCCGUGGCGAAAGCGGCUCUCUGG